AGUGAAGAUGGCUUUCGGGUCGUAAAACUCUGUUGUUGGAGAAGAAUGGUCGGCAGAGUAACUGUUGUCGGCGUGACGGUAUCCAACCAGAAAGCCACGGCUAACUACGUGCCAGCAGCCGCGGUAAUACGUAGGUGGCAAGCGUUAUCCGGAUUUAUUGGGCGUAAAGCGAGCGCAGGCGGUUUUUUAAGUCUGAUGUGAAAGCCCUCGGCUUAACCGAGGAAGUGCAUCGGAAACUGGGAAACUUGAGUGCAGAAGAGGACAGUGGAACUCCAUGUGUAGCGGUGAAAUGCGUAGAUAUAUGGAAGAACACCAGUGGCGAAGGCGGCUGUCUGGUCUGUAACUGACGCUGAGGCUCGAAAGCAUGGGUAGCGAACAGGAUUAGGUACCCUGGUAGUCCAUGCCGUAAACGAUGAAUGCUAGGUGUUGGAGGGUUUCCGCCCUUCAGUGCCGCAGCUAACGCAUUAAGCAUUCCGCCUGGGGAUUACGACCGCAAGGUUGAAACUCAAAGGAAUUGACGGGGGCCCGCACAAGCGGUGGAGCAUGUGGUUUAAUUCGAAGCAACGCGAAGAACCUUACCAGGUCUUGACAUCUUUUGAUCACCUGAGAGAUCAGGUUUCCCCUUCGGGG
rnacentral:rRNA from 2 species